GACGAACGCUGGCGGCGUGCCUAAUACAUGCAAGUCGAACGCUUCUUUCCUCCCGAGUACUUGCACUCAAUUGGAAAGAGGAGUGGCGGACGGGUGAGUAACACGUGGGUAACCUACCCAUCAGAGGGGGAUAACACUUGGAAACAGGUGCUAAUACCGCAUAACAGUUUAUGCCGCAUGGCAUAAGAGUGAAAGGCGCUUUCGGGUGUCGCUGAUGGAUGGACCCGCGGUGCAUUAGCUAGUUGGUGAGGUAACGGCUCACCAAGGCCACGAUGCAUAGCCGACCUGAGAGGGUGAUCGGCCACACUGGGACUGAGACACGGCCCAGACUCCUACGGGAGGCAGCAGUAGGGAAUCUUCGGCAAUGGACGAAAGUCUGACCGAGCAACGCCGCGUGAGUGAAGAAGGUUUUCGGAUCGUAAAACUCUGUUGUUAGAGAAGAACAAGGACGUUAGUAACUGAACGUCCCCUGACGGUAUCUAACCAGAAAGCCACGGCUAACUACGUG
rnacentral:rRNA from 1 species